rnacentral:rRNA from 1 species
GCCGCGGUAAUUCCAGCUCCAAUAGCGUAUACUAAAGUUGUUGCGGUUAAAAAGCUCGUAGUUGGAUCUUGGAAUGUGUUCAAGCGGGUCAGCUUCUGGCUGUGCGCUGCUUGACGUGUUCUUCUAUUUGGUUUUGGUGCGGUGCGCUUAACUGCGUGUCGCUCCCGGCCGAAACGUUUACCUUGAAAAAAUUAGAGUGUUCAAAGCAGACCUGUUUGAGUCUGAAUAUUCGUGCAUGGAAUAAUGAAAUAUGAAUUCGGUUCUAUUUUGUUGGUUUUCGGAACUCGAGUUAAUGAUCAAGAGGGACAGACGGGGGCAUUCGUACUCUGCCGUUAGAGGUGAAAUUCUUGGAUCGGCGGAAGACGCGCAACUGCGAAAGCAUUUGCCAAGAAUGUUUUCUUUAAUCAAGAACGAUAGUCGGAGGUUCGAAGACGAUCAGAUACCGUCCUAGUUUCGACUGUAAACUAUGCCAGCUAACGAUCAGACAGAGUUCUCUACGACUUGUCUGGCAGUUUCCGGGAAACCAAAGCGUUUGGGUUCCGGGGGAAGUAUGGUUGCAAAGCUGAAACUUAAAGGAAUUGACGGAAGGGCACCACCAGGAGUGGAGCCUGCGGCUUAAUUUGACUCAACACGGGGAAACUCACCCGGCCCGGACACAGUGAGGAUUGACAGAUUGAGAGUUCUUUCUUGAUUCUGUGGGUGGUGGUGCAUGGCCGUUCUUAGUUGGUGGAGCGAUUUGUCUGGUUAAUUCCGAUAACGAACGAGACUCUGGCAUGUUAAAUAGUCGCGGAAGUGCGUAUGCACUUGCCGAAUUGACUUCUUAGAGGGACUAGUGAUUUUAAUUCACACGAGAUUGAGCAAUAACAGGUCUGUGAUGC